UGUAUACCCACAGGAGUCUCAGCCAGCAGCCUGUAGGUGAGACACUUGCACAUCCAUCUUUAUUGCAGCAUUAUUUACAGUAGCCAAGACAGGAAAGCAGACUAGAUCCCCAUCAACAGGGGGUGAAGAAACAACAUGUAUACAAUGAAGUUUUACUGAGAUGUAAAGAAUGAAAUCCUGCAGAUGGAACUGGAGAUCAUUAUGUGAAAUAAGUCACACAAACUACUUUGUGCUUUCUCUUAUGUGCAGAAUUGAUUUUUUUUUUUUUUUUGAAAGACCACUGGGGAUAAGAAAAGGGAUGGGGGAAGAAAAGAAAAUGACAGGAUGAAUAUGAACAAAGUAUGAUGUACAUGCAUGAAAAUGUCAGAAUGAAAAUUAGUUUGUAUAAUAUUGGCAUCCUUUUGCUUUUAAUUUCUCUAUUUUUAAACAAGGCUUUUGAUUUUGGUACUUGGAUUAAAACAGAAUCAAAGACAAUGGAGCAUUAUACCUAGAAAUGCCUUAUACCUUCACAAUCAGCUAAUCUUUGACAAGUGUGUCAAGCACAUACAUAGAAAUACAAAAAGGAUUCUUCGGUGAGUUAAGGUAUUGGGAAUCUGGGUAUUCACAGAAAGCAAGGGAAGGAAGGGGGAGAAGAAAGGAAGAAUAGAAAAGAGGAAGGGAAGGCACAGGACCUCUGACAUAUCACUUAGAAAAAUUAAAAACCGCUCAGAAAAUAAAUGCAAAUCUUGAAAUUACAAGACUCCGUGAAGAAAAUAUAGGGGAAAAUCUCUUUGAUGUGGACCUUGGUGACAGUUUGAACAUGACUAUAAAAGCUUAAGCAGCAAAUACAAAAACAAACAAGUGAGACUUCAUCAAGCCAACACCUUUGAAACAAAGGAAACAAGAAUAUUAAAAGUGCAGCCUCCAGAAUAAAAGAAAACAUUUGCAAAUCAUGCACCUGACAUGCCUGUUACAAAGAAGUCUCCUUGCUGAGUGUGGGUGUAAGGACAAAUGGUUAGCUUGUUGUUGGGGACUAUGCUGGCUUAAUAAAUUGUUAACAGCUAUUGUGAAAAACAAUAUGGAGGUAACUUAAAAUCUUACAAGUAGAAUCAUAGGGUUCACCGAUGCCAUUUCUGUAUACAUGUACAAAGAAAAUGAAACAAGCAUUUUCCUUCAUUCAUUUAUUUGUCCAUUUAUUUGUUUAUUUGGGAAAGGAUGUCAGUAAGUGUUUUCCUUGUUUUGAAUUCACACUCAUUUGUUUGUUUGAGACAGGAUCACACUGUGUAUACCUGGCUCAGUUAGAACUACUAGGCUGGCCUCACUCCUAAGAGAUCUGGCUGCCUUUGCCUCUGCCUUCUAGAUGCUGGGAUUAAAAGUAUGCAUGUGCCACCACACCUGUCCUUAUUAAUUUAUUUUUUUAAAGACAGGUUUUAUUGCUUAUAGAUGGGAGGGGGGUGCAUAUGCAGUUGCUUCACUGAGCAUGGAGGUCAAAAGAGGGUGUAGAACUUCUGAAGUUGGAGUUACAGGGAGUUGUCACCUAUCUGUUGAUGCUGUGAUCUGACCUUGGUUCCACUAAAAGAACUGCAAGUACUAUUACCUGCUGAGCCAUCUUUCCAACCUGUAAUCAUAUUUUAAUAAUCAUUACAUUACCCUGUUUAUUUCAGAAUGGCUUACAGCAGCCAUGGUGGAUGACUGACCCAGCUGAGUACCUAUAUAUGAGUGCAUAAAGGAAAAAAAAAAAGUGUAUUUCCUACUGUAUGCUACAACAGAAAAAAACUAGAAGGUACUAUAUACUAAGUGAAAUCAGCCAGAUAGAGAACACGUUGUUGUAUGGAAUCACUUCAUAUGUGUUAUCUAAAAGAAUCAAACUAAGAAAUCAAUUUGAACAUAGUAGUUGCCAAAAUUUAAGGGACAGGAAACGGGGAGAUGGCUUUUGGAAAAUGACAAGUACUCAGUUAUGAAAUGAAUUAGUUCCAAAUGUUUUUAAAGUAUUGAAAAGGUAAUAUGAUAAAUGUGUUAAUUGACUUGACUUUAAUUAUCAUUUCAUACUGUACAGAUAUAGCAAAUUAUCAUAUUGUAUUUUUUUAUAAUUUUGUCAAUCAUACCUCAGUAAGUCUAAAAAAAUGAGUAGAAAGUGAGUAAUAAAAUGUAAU
rnacentral:lncRNA from 1 species